rnacentral:rRNA from 1 species
UACGGGGGGGGUAAGCGUUGUUCGGAAUUACUGGGCGUAAAGCGCACGUAGGCGGAUUUGUAAGUCAGGGGUGAAAUCCCGGGGCUCAACCUCGGAACUGCCUUUGAUACUGCAAAUCUCGAGUCCGAUAGAGGUGGGUGGAAUUCCUAGUGUAGAGGUGAAAUUCGUAGAUAUUAGGAAGAACACCGGUGGCGAAGGCGGCCCACUGGAUCGGUACUGACGCUGAGGUGCGAAAGCGUGGGGAGCAAACAGG